rnacentral:rRNA from 1 species
CCUACGGGAGACAGCAGUGAGGAAUAUUGGUCAAUGGACGAGAGUCUGAACCAGCCAAGUAGCGUGAAGGAUGACUGCCCUAUGGGUUGUAAACUUCUUUUAUAAAGGAAUAAAACGAGGCACGUGUGCCUUUUUGCAUGUACUUUAUGAAUAAGGAUCGGCUAACUCCGUGCCAGCAGCCGCGGUAAUACGGAGGAUCCGAGCGUUAUCCGGAUUUAUUGGGUUGAAAGGGAGCGUAGAUGGGUUGUUAAGUCAGUUGUGAAAGUUUGCGGCUCAACCGUAAAAUUGCAAUUGAUACUGGCAGUCGUGAGUACAGUUGAGGUAGGCGGAAUUCGUGGUGUAGCGGUGAAAUGCUUAGAUAUCACGAAGAACCCCGAUUGCGAAGGCAGCUUACUAAACUGUGACUGACAUUGAUGCUCGAAAGUGUGGGUAUCAAACAGGAUUAGAUACCCUAGUAGUC